GCGCGCCCGAUGCGCAGGCAGUGGUUACUUCCACUCUUCAUGGAGAGGUCGCAGGUUCAAAUCCUGCUCGCCCGCC
rnacentral:tRNA from 1 species